rnacentral:rRNA from 1 species
CNUUCUGUGCCGGAGUUAACGCAAUAAGUACCCCGCCUGGGGAGUACGACCGCAAGGUUGAAACUCAAAGGAAUUGACGGGGGCCCGCACAAGCGGUGGAGUAUGUGGUUUAAUUCGACGCAACGCGAAGAACCUUACCAGGUCUUGACAUUGAUGGACAGAACCAGAGAUGGUUCCUCUUCUUCGGAAGCCAGAAAACAGGUGGUGCACGGUUGUCGUCAGCUCGUGUCGUGAGAUGUUGGGUNNNNNNNNNNNNNNNAGCGCAACCCCUAUCUUAUGUUGCCAGCACUUUGGGUGGGGACUCAUGAGAGACUGCCGCAGACAAUGCNGAGGAAGGCGGGGAUGACGUCAAAUCAUCAUGCCCCUUAUGACCUGGGCUACACACGUACUACAAUGGGAGUUAAUAGACGGAAGCGAGAUCGCGAGAUGGAGCAAACCCGAGAAACACUCUCUCAGUUCGGAUCGUAGGCUGCAACUCGCCUACGUGAAGUCGGAAUCGCUAGUAAUCGCAGGUCAGCAUACUGCGGUGAAUACGUUCCCGGGC